rnacentral:rRNA from 1 species
AUACGGAGGGGGCGAGCGUUAUUCGGAAUUACUGGGCGUAAAGCGCGCGCAGGUGGCUGGGUAAGUGGCAGGUGAAAUCCCUUGGCUCAACCGAGGAACUGCCUGCCAAACUGCUCUGCUUGAGGCCGGGAGGGGGAAGCGGAAUUCCUGGUGUAGCGGUGAAAUGCGUAGAUACCAGGAGGAACACCGGUGGCGAAGGCGGCUUCCUGGACCGGUUCUGACACUCAUGCGCGAAAGCGUGGGUAGCAAACAGGAUUAGAUACCCUGGUAGUCCACGCCCUAAACGAUGGGCACUAGGCGCUGCGGGUGUCGACCCCUGCAGUGCCGUAGCUAACGCGUUAAGUGCCCCGCCUGGGGAGUACGGUCGCAAGGCUGAA